AAUUUCAAAACUUGAACAGACAAUAAUGUAUUCGAUUGAACUGGAGUUAGGAAUAUGUUCAUUGUAUGUAUUAAUGAAGUCCCUGUGAGCAGGCAACGGCUCGAGCUGCAGGCCUGUGGAAUUUGUUUCUUCCGGCUGAGAGUGGCCUCUCUCAGCUGGAUUAUGCUCAUAUCGCAGAGGAGACCGGACGCUGCUUCUACGCCCCCGAAGUCUUUAACUGCCAGGCCCCAGACACUGGCAAUAUGGAAGUUCUGCACCUGUUUGGCACUGAGGAACAGAAGAGACUCUGGCUGGAGCCCUUACUAAGAUGAGACAUACGGUCCUGCUUCUGUAUGACAGAGCCGGAUGUUGCUUCAAGUGACGCCACAAACAUGGAGUGCACCCUUCACUGGGACAAAGACCAUUUUAUCAUUAAUGGCAAAAAGUGAUGGA